rnacentral:lncRNA from 1 species
GUAGCAGGUAAGAUGAUACUCUGGAAAAUCUUGCUUACCCUCCCCCUUCCCCCCCAGCCGCAUAUAUACCAGGCUGGGGGGUUCUUUUGGGGAUUGGUCAUCGUGUGGCGCGAUGGGGUUGCCACUGACAUGGCCGUUACAGGACGUCGUGGGGCAGCGCUGGGUACGGCUAUGGCAGGGCGUAGUGGAGUUCCGCUUUGUACGGCUGUUACAGGGGAUCGUGAAACAGCGUCGGAUACGGCCGUUGCAGGGAGUAGUGGAGCAGGGGGCCGCGGCGUGCCUCAGGGGAACAGUCUGUUGUUGUCAGAGAUUGCCGACUCGGGGUCGGAUUGCUGGAUCAAGGGGCA